rnacentral:lncRNA from 1 species
GGGGUGGUAGGGGUGUAUGAUUGUAGGGAUGGUAGGGUUGUAUGUUGGGAGGGAUGGUAGGGAGGUAUGCUAGUUGGGCCGAUAUGACUGGUAGGGAUUUAAGGAUGUAUCCAGGUAGGGCUGGUUGAGAUAUAUCCUGGAAGGGUUGGUAGGGGUGAUAGGGAUGGUUGGGAGGUAUGCUAGUUGUAAGGAUGUAUCCAGGUAGGGCUGGUUGAGAUAUAUCCUGGAAGGGUUGGUAGGGGUGAUAGGGAUGGUUGGGAGGUAUGCUAGUUGUAAGGAUGUAUCCAGGUAGGGCUGGUUGAGAUAUAUCCUGGAAGGGUUGGUAGGGGUGAUAGGGAUGGUUGGGAGGUAUGCUAGUUGUAAGGAUGUAUCCAGGUAGGGCUGGUUGAGAUAUAUCCUGGAAGGGUUGGUAGGGGUGAUAGGGAUGGUUGGGAG